rnacentral:rRNA from 1 species
AUUGAACGCUGGCGGCAGGCCUAACACAUGCAAGUCGAACGAGUGGCGGACGGGUGAGUAAUGUCUGGGAAACUGCCUGAUGGAGGGGGAUAACUACUGGAAACGGUAGCUAAUACCGCAUACCAUCGGAUGUGCCCCGCUGGGAGUAGCUAGUCGGGGGGGUAACGGCUCACCUAGGCGACGAUCCCUAGCUGGUCUGAGAGGAUGACCAGCCAAACUGGAACUGAGACACGGUCCAGAAUCCUACGGGAGGCAGCAGUGGGGAAUAUUGCACAAGGGGCGCAAGCCUGAUGCAGACAUGCCGCGUGUAUGAAGAAGGCCUUCGGGUUGUAAAGGACUUUCAGCGGGGAGGCGGGAACCGAAGAAGAAGCACCGGCUAACUCCGUGCCAGCAGACGCGGUAAGAG